CCCCGAGUAGCUCAGUUGGAAGAGCGUCUGACUGUAAUAGUACCUGUUAUCAGAAGGUCACCUGUUCGAACCAGGUCUUGGGGA
rnacentral:tRNA from 1 species